rnacentral:rRNA from 1 species
UACGAAGGGGGCUAGCGUUGUUCGGAUUUACUGGGCGUAAAGCGCACGUAGGCGGAUCGUUAAGUGAGGGGUGAAAUCCCAGGGCUCAACCCUGGAACUGCCUUUCAUACUGGCGAUCUUGAGUCCGGAAGAGGUGAGUGGAACUCCUAGUGUAGAGGUGGAAUUCGUAGAUAUUAGGAAGAACACCGGUGGCGAAGGCGGCCCACUGGAUCGGUACUGACGCUGAGGUGCGAAAGCGUGGGGAGCAAACAGG